UAAUGAUUGGCUUUGAAAGGUAGACUUCAA
rnacentral:piRNA from 1 species